rnacentral:rRNA from 1 species
ACGGGAGGCAGCAGUGGGGGAUAUUGCACAAUGGGCGCAAGCCUGAUGCAGCGACGCCGCGUGAGUGAAGAAGUAUUUCGGUAUGUAAAGAUCUAUCAGCAAGGAAGAAAAUGACGGUACUUGACUAAGAAGCCCCGGCUAACUACGUGCCAGCAGCCGCGGUAAUACGUAGGGGGCAAGCGUUAUCCGGAUUUACUGGGUGUAAAGGGAGCGUAGACGGCCAAGCAAGUCUGAUGUGAAAACCCGGGGCUCAACCGCGGGAUUGCAUUGGAAACUGUUAGGCUGGAGUACUGGAGGGGCAGGCGGAAUUCCUGGUGUAGCGGUGGAAUGCGUAGAUAUCAGGAAGAACACCGGUGGCGAAGGCGGCCUGCUGGACAGUAACUGACGUUGAGGCUCGAAAGCGUGGGGAGCAAACAGGAUUAGAUACCCUGGUA